CGCCGCGCCCCUUGAAAAGAGCGCUGCUUCAAGCAACAUGACUCUAUAUCAUUGUAUAAUAUUUAAAUUUUAAUAAUGUGUCUCUAAAUACCUCUAAAAAUUCAAAAUAAUUAAUAUUUCUCUUUUUUCUAUCAAAUAAAUAAAUAAUGUGUUAAUUAAUUUUUUCAUUAAAAUAUUUGAUUGAAAAAAUAAAAUUAAUUUAAAAAAAGCUUAAAUAAAAUUCAAAGCUAGAAAUUUUUUUUUUUUUUAUUUAAAUUAAAUUAAAACAUAGGUAUAAAAUGAAAUAAAUAAAAAAAAAAAAAUUAAAUAAAUAUAAACAAAGUUCUUUAAUUAGAGAAUGUUCUGAUAGUUUGAAGAUUACAGAACAAGAUAUCCUUGAAUUUGGUAAAGUUUUAUAGAAUGACCCGAUUGGAAUCAAACGUUCCAAGUUUUAGAGUUGGGUGUAAGGUGCGCCAAUGUGGUGGUUAACCAAGGAACAGGACGACGCAAGUGCAACGCUUGGUGGAUAGUAAAAGUGGUUCUUGUGGAUAACCAUAAUAUAUCAGUUCAACUGGUUCAUUUGUCAAGCUCAUUCUUGCUAAGGAUUAUCUUGAAUUUUUUUUUCAUUUACAUUUUUUUUUUUUUUUAAAAAAACUUUAUUUUUCACGUGCUAUUAUAACAAUUAAUUAUUUUUUUUUUUUUCCAUUCGUUAAAGUGGAUAAAAAGAUUUAAAAAAAUAAAAUAAAAAUUGCAUUUUAAAACGCUAAUCUUCAAUUGAUAGUGAAUUCUGUGAACGUGCAAUCUGAAACUUCGUGCCGUGACUUUUUUAGUGUAUAAAAAGUGAUCGAAGGUGUUCUUUACGAUGGAUGGUCGGAUGUCGAGAAACGAGAAUGAUGAUCUGAUGCUUUGAGUGUGAAAAAAAAAAAACAUAAUACGUAUUUAUUUUUUUUGUUUCUUCAUCAUCAUCAUUUACAAAAAAGGGACACAAUCAAAGAAUGGAUGGUAAAAGACGAGAGACCCGUGGAUGGGGCUAGUUCAUAUGAAGUGUCUUUGAGCAGUCAUGGUGUGGUGUGAGCAACUUGUGACGUGGUGCUGCCUUGCUUUGCUGUCAGUAUCGCAAUCAUUAACUGUUGCUGAUUUAACUACAACAACUGACAAAAUAUCAACGACAGCUACAAGGACAACAAAAUCCAGUGCAUCAACAAAACGUUCGAUACCAACUGAUGCACCAAUGUUGAAUUACAUAUUUGACAUUCAUAAUACAAUAAAUAAGCAUCAACAUCAUCGUGAUAAUCGAUGGGGACCUCAUUUUGAAGGUGAAAGUCAAAAUGUAACAGCUCAAGCUGAUGCAACUGUAAUUCUUGAUUGUAAAAUAUCACUUUUACAAGGAAAAACAGUAUCAUGGUUACGUAGACAUGAAGAUGGUGAAAGAAUGAUACUACUCACAUAUGGUCAACUCACUUACACUGGUGAUUCAAGAUACACCGUUGAAUUUCAAUAUCCCGAUAAUUGGAAAUUGAAAAUUCGAAAUGUGAAUAGCAGUGAUGAAGGACAAUAUGAAUGCCAAAUAAGCACACAUCCGCCCAUGACAAUUGUCGUCAACCUUCAUAUAAAUGCACCUUCAGUUCAAAUUGUUGAUGCACUUGGAGAACCAUUACGUGAUAAAUACUAUGAAGCAGACAGCACUAUUGAAUUAUUGUGUGUUGUACGACACAUGGCAAUGCAAAUGCAGUACAGUGUGGUCCAGUGGUUACAUGGAAAUAGAAUUUUAAACUAUGAUACGUCUAGGGGUGGUAUUAGUGUAAAAACAGACCUAAUGGAAGUAGGGGCAAAUUCAACGCUAAGUAUAGCAAGGGUGGGACCAACUGACAGUGGAAAUUAUACAUGUGUGCUAACCACAAUGCCAGACAAACCAGCAACAGUACAUGUACAUGUUUUGAAUGGAGAAAGUCUAGCUGAGCUACAUCAUGGUACAGCAAAUAUAACAACUGAAAAUAAUGUUGUGUUAAUUGUGUUAUUUGGUAUAAUUUUUACACAUUUACUAAUGGCAUUGAGAUGAAAAACUAUUAUAUCAAAUAAUUACUUGUUGAUAUAAAAUAUCAUUUAAGACAUAAUUAAAAUAAUGCCCAAAAUUGUGUGACAGUAGUAAUUAUUGUUUCAACUUGUAAUUAGUCAUUUUUGAUUAUCCUAAAAAAUAUUUGAUGAAAAACCUGGAUGUACGAAAAUUGAUAAAUCAUUAUUUUGUUGACUCGUCAGCUAUUGGAUAAAUGUCUUUUUUUUUUUCAUCGAGAUGCCAGAGAAGAGGUCAGGAACUGUUGGCUUUUUUAUUUUAUAUUUUUUACUGGCUGGUGACUGGUUUAUGUCUCCCAGUGGUCAAAUAAUUCGACUAUGAAGAGGUAAUCAUACUGUGAAAAAUCCUAGUCACUGAGGAGCUGAGUUAUAUACUUUUGAAAAAUAAAUCAACACAAAAACUAUCAGUAGUUUUUUCGUGAUGGAAAAUCAACAAUACUGUGACAUUCGAUAGCUGUCAAAAGAUAUUUAAUGUCCAUGUAACCUUUACCAGGUUGAUGGACAAUUAAAACCUCAAAGGAUUUUGAUAGGUAUCUUGUAACAAAUAAAACUUUUUGUCCGGAGAAUGAAACACAAUAGCUCAAUUGUUAUGAUGAUACAUAAAAAGAUUCAUCAGGGACCAUAAACGUCUGCAAUGCGGUUUUCAUGUUAAGCAUUGCUUCAAAAAAAAAUAACUACAAAGUAAAAAAAAAUUCUACUAAUAUCAUUGACGUAUAUUCAAAGUGCCUUGGGUUAAUGGAAAUUUAUGUAGAGAGACGCUUGGGGAUAUAAAAC